UUUGUAUUGGCAGAUUAGUGCAUUGAAUUUAGAAUUCAAAAAAAUAAUUUUAUAUUAUAUACAAUA
rnacentral:tRNA from 2 species